CCUACGGGAGGCAGCAGUAGGGAAUCUUUCACAAUGGGCGAAAGCCUGAUGGAGCAACGCCGCGUGCAGGAUGAAGGCCUUCUGGUUGUUAACUGCUUUUAUAAGCGAGAAAUAUGAUGGUAACUUAUGAAUAAGGAUCGGCUAACUACGUGCCAGCAGCCGCGGUCGUACGUAGGAUCCGCGCAUUAUCCGGAGUGACUGGGUGUAAAGAGUUGCGUAGGUGGCAUAAUAAGUAGCUAGUGAAAUCUGGUGGCUCAACCAUUCAGACUAUUAGCUAAACUGAUGAGCUCGAGACCGUUAGAAGUAACUGGAAUUUCUAGUGUAGGAGUGAAAUCCGUAGAUAUUAGAAAGAACACCAAUAGCGAAGGCAGGUUACUGGGGCGGUUCUGACACUAAGGCACGAAAGCGUAGGGAGCGAACGGGAUUAGAUACCCCAGUAGUC
rnacentral:rRNA from 1 species